rnacentral:tRNA from 2 species
AGGGUGUUAAGUUAAGAAAGACUUUAAUACUUCAAAUAUUAAUGUGGGCGUUAGCCUGUACCUUG